GGACAGUCAUCGCCGAGUCCCCGUACGGCGCGAGCCAGGGGAGCCGGGGACCCAUCGCAGUCCCUGGGGUGAAUCGGACGCCCGCGCGUAGUGCGAGGGGGUCCGUAGGAGACCUUCCUGCUCCGAACCCGUCAGCUAACCCGGUAGGCGAGAAGGAAGGAAAG
rnacentral:sRNA from 2 species